rnacentral:rRNA from 1 species
GACGAACGCUGGCGGCGUGCCUAAUACAUGCAAGUAGAACGCUGAAGGAGGAGCUUGCUUCUCUGGAUGAGUUGCGAACGGGUGAGUAACGCGUAGGUAACCUGCCUGGUAGCGGGGGAUAACUAUUGGAAACGAUAGCUAAUACCGCAUAAUAGUAGAUGUUGCAUGACAUUUGCUUAAAAGGUGCAAUUGCAUCACUACCAGAUGGACCUGCGUUGUAUUAGCUAGUUGGUGGGGUAACGGCUCACCAAGGCGACGAUACAUAGCCGACCUGAGAGGGUGAUCGGCCACACUGGGACUGAGUCACGGCCCAGACUCCUACGGGAGGCAGCAGUAGGGAAGCGUCGGCAAUGGACGGAAGUCUGACCGGGCAACGCCGCGUGAGUGAAGAAGGUUUUCGGAUCGUAAAGCUCUGUUGUAAGAGAAGAACGAGUGUGAGAGUGGAAAGUUCACACUGUGACGGUAUCUUACCAGAAAGGUACGGCUAACUACGUG